UGAACCCUGAUACAGAACUUAAAGUUCUUCUUUACUCAUUUGGUUUUGUGAAUGUUGAAUAACAAAUUUUAGUUUUUUGCUUCAGUCAGCCUUUACCGUCUUCAGCCAGUGGGGCUGACUCAAAUAAUUGAAAUGAAUGAUUCAUUAUUCAACAUUCACAAGACUAAAAUCAGUACGGGCAUACCUCACUUAAUGAAAGGGACAUGUUUUGAGAAAUGCAUCAUUAGGCACUUUCACUGUUGUGUGAACAUCACACAAUGUACUUACACAAACCUAAGUGGUAGAGCCUACUACACACCCAGGCUAUGUGGUGCUACCCAUAUGGGACCACUGUCAUAUGUGUGGUCCAUUAGUGACCGAAACAUCGUUAAUAUUGUUACAUGGUGCGUGACUGUGGUGGAUGACAAUGACAAAAUGGAGUACCAUUUUCAAGGCUUCUAAAAUGGAGCUGGGAGGCCAUUAAGGAAGUGGGGCUUAUGCUUGUACACCACAUCCACCACCAGAUGUUAACUGAACUUUUGAGCUUUACCUGACAGCAGAGGUCACAUCUUGAAGUGUUUCCUCAUUCCAAGAAGGGGCAGUCUGCCUAGGACCAACUAUGUUCUGUUUAUGCCUCUUAUUUGCUGACUUUACAUGGUGACAGAAGUGGGAUCCCUAGCUACUGACCUUCAAUUCUGGUGCCACUUCACAGACACAAGCAAGGUGCCUGCAAAGAAUCUUUUGUGCUCUGUCAUCUCCUCCUGGUGGCUCUGGUUCCUGGUGGUAAGUCCUCCUGGGCCUGGACCUCCCAUUUUUGGUAGAGGUCCAGACUCUUUAUGUAGGCGUCCUUUGAUAGUGGUUCUGGCCAUCCUUCC
rnacentral:lncRNA from 1 species